UACGGAGGGUGCAAGCGUUAUCCGGAUUUACUGGGUUUAAAGGGUGCGUAGGUGGGCAGGUAAGUCAGCGGUGAAAUCUCCGAGCUUAACUCGGAAACUGCCAUUGAUACUAUCUGUCUUGAAUAUCCUGGAGGUGAGCGGAAUAUGUCAUGUAGCGGUGAAAUGCUUAGAUAUGACAUAGAACACCAAUUGCGAAGGCAGCUCACUACGGGAUUAUUGACACUGAGGCACGAAAGCGUGGGGAGCAAACAGG
rnacentral:rRNA from 1 species